ensembl:lncRNA
CUGUUCUGUGAGCUUGUGUGGCCUACUACUUCGAGGCUAAGCCGUUGUUGCUCCUAGAUGUUUCCCCUUCACAAUAACAGCUCUUACAGUUGACCGGGACAGCUCUAGCAGGACAGAAAUUUGUCGAACUGACGGUGCCACAUUGAAAGCCACUGAGCUCUUCAGUAAGGCCAUUCUACUGCCAAUGUUUGUCUAUGGAGAUUGCAUCGCGGUGUGCUCAAUUUGAUACACCCGUCAUCAACGGGUGUGGCUGAAAUAGCCAAAUCCACUAAUUUGAAGGGGUGUUCACAUGCACUAUAUAUACAAAAGUACAUCACAACAGGUGUAAAUAUAGGUCAUGACAGUGUUAUGACCCUAUUAUAUCAGGUCAUGAUAAGUUAUGUCAGCUGUUAUGACACUAUGACAUGGUUAUGACCGCAUCAUAAUGUGUUCUGACACCAGGUGUCAAGUAAAGUGUUACCAAGUAUUGUGUAUAGGCCAGUGACAAAAACAUCUCAAUUUAAUCCAUUUGAAAUGCAGGCUGUAACACAACAAAACGUGGAAGAAGUCAAGGGGUGUGAAUACUUUCUGAAGGAACUCUAUAGGCCAGUAAGUGUAGAUAACAAACAUUAGCAUGUUGUUUGUACCAGCUCUGUACAGCCCAUUUGCCAUACACCGUAAAUAGUGGACAUGAGGCAGCUCUUUUUAUUUUGGGUCUGAACAGAUGUGAGUGUGUUUACGGACAUAUUCAAUCAAUCCCUAUACCAGUCUGCUGUUCCCACAUGCUUCAAGAGGGCCACCAUUGUUCCUGUUCCCAAGAAAGCUAAGGUAACUGAGCUAAACGACUACCGCCCCGUAGCACUCACAUCCGUCAUCAUGAAGUGCUUUGAGAGACUAGUCAAGGACCAUAUCACCUCCACCCUACAUGACACCCUAGACCCACUCCAAUUUGCUUACCGCCCAAAUAGGUCCACAGACGAUGCAAUCUCAACCACACUGCACACUGCCCUAACCCAUCUGGACAAGAGGAAUACCUAUGUGAGAAUGCUGUUCAUCGACUACAGCUCGGCAUUCAACACCAUAGUACCCUCCAAGCUCGUCAUCAAGCUCGAGACCCUGGGUCUCGACCCCGC